rnacentral:rRNA from 1 species
GACGAACGCUGGCGGCGUGCCUAACACAUGCAAGUCGAACGGGGAGUUAGCAAUAACUCCUAGUGGCGAACGGGUGAGUAACGCGUAGACAACCUGCCUCUAAACUGGGGACAACACCGCGAAAGUGGUGCUAAUACCGAAUGUGGUAACUUGAUCGCAUGAUCGAGUUAAGAAAGAUGGCCUCUAUUUAUAAGCUAUCGAUUAGAGAUGGGUCUGCGUCUGAUUAGCUAGUUGGUGAGGUAAUGGCUCACCAAGGCGACGAUCAGUAGCCGGUCUGAGAGGAUGAACGGCCACACUGGGACUGAGACACGGCCCAGACGCCUACGGGAGGCAGCAGUGGGGAAUCUUCCGCAAUGGACGAAAGUCUGACGGAGCAACGCCGCGUGAGUGAAGAAGGUCUUCGGAUUGUAAAGCUCUGUCGUUUGGGACGAACGUGGGUAGUGUGAAUAAUGCUAUCUAAUGGCGGUACCAAAGGAGGUAGCCACGGCUAACUACGUGCCAGCCGCCGCCGUAA